rnacentral:piRNA from 1 species
UACCCAGUGUGUCCAGGAUUUAUGGUGUU